CGCUAUUGGAGUUCGAUUAAGCCAUGCGAGUCGAGAGUCUUAGGGACUCGGCGUACCGCUCAGUAACACGUGGGUAACCUGCCCUAUGCUGGGGAAUAACCUCGGGAAACUGAGAAUAAUGCCCCAUAGUUCACUACGCCUGGAACGGUGAGUGGAUGAAAGCUCCGGCGGCAUAGGAUGGGCCUGCGGCGUAUCAGGUCGUAGGGGGUGUAACGUACCCUCUAGCCAUCGACGCGUACGGGUGUUGGGAGACAUAGCCCGGAGAUGGAUUCUGAGACACGAAUCCAGACCCUACGGGGUGCAGCAGGCGCGAAAACUUGGCAAUGCGAGAAAUCGUGACCAGGGAACUCCAAGUGGCUGGGGUAAGACCCAGUCUUUUCUUGACUCUUCAAAGGUCUUGGAAUAAGAGGUGGGUAAGGACGGUGCCAGCCGCCGCGGUAAUACCGGCGCCUCAAGUGGUAGUCGAUUUUAUUGGGCCUAAAACGUCCGUAGCCUGUUUGGUACAUUCGUGGGUAAAUCAACCAGCUCAACUGG
rnacentral:rRNA from 1 species